CUCGGUGAGCGCCGCUCACUCCCCGGCCGCCAGCUCUGGGGCUGCCGGGACGCGGAGGCGGGGCCGUCGCCCCCACCUGCUCCUCCGGCUCCUGCCUGGGAGCCGCAGCCGGCCCGCGCGCAAGGACGCGGCCCGGGCGGGCGGGGUCGCUCUGGAACCCGGGAGGCGGGUCCUAGCCGCCGGGCGCGCCUCUGCCUGACGGAGUCCCAGGUCUAAGCUGAGGAGAGAGUCUAAGCUUGGGGCCCAAGGCUGGAGUUCCCCAGGUAGGAGGGGCUGUGAUGCGAGCGACACCCGGCCCAGCACCGCCAGGCUGGGGACACUCCACUCCUUCAUCAAUUUAUUCCAAAAUAUUUUGAACCCCUGCUGUGCUCCAGGCGGCGUCAUAAGCGGUGGGGACAAAAGAACGAGAUCGUCUCGUGCCCUUGCGGAGUUCACGGUGUAGAAAAGGAAACGACUAAUGGACAACUACACUGCAGAGCCAAGAGGGAGCGGUCAUAGAGGGGGCCCUGAACCAGACUUGGGGAGGUCAGGGAAGGCUUACUGGAGGAGCUGGUGGCUAAAAGAACUGAAGGAUGUGCAUGAAUUAUCCGGUUGGAGUGACCUGGGGAGGUAGAUUGUCCCAGGUGGAGCCGAAGGGGAGAGGGAGCCGACAGUCUGAAAACUGAAGGGUCUGAGGAGCCGAAAGAACUUGGUAUGGCCACACUUCACGUUCAGACCCCUGGAAAGAUGCAGAAAGAUUGUGUCUGAGGCUGGAUGUAUUCCACUAGGCGCAUGAUUGGUUGGUGAGGAUUUGGUGAGGAUUUCGAAUCUCCCACGUGCUGCGCAUUCCCGCUAGUGGAGGAGCUAAGAGGAUACUCGUGGACCGUUCCCUGCAAUUUACCUGAGCAUCUGUGAGCCAGGCACUCUGCAGGACCCUUAGGAUGUGCUGUGGAAGGAGGCAGUGUCUCUACGCAAAAGGAGCUACAAGUCUGCAGUGGGGGAGAGACCUGUACUCAGCGCUUGGAUGAGGUGCAUGGGAACACAGGAUCACAAUAUGUGGAAUCAAAAGAACUAGGGUUUGAGUCCUGAUUCUAUCCAAACUGUUUCAGCUUCCUGCCCUUGGGCUACAUCACCUUAGACUUAUAAUGACAACAACGAACAUCCAAGUGACUCCCUGCAUCUACCUUCACUACGACCAUCUGCCUGCAUAUUCUCUGAUGGAUCCACAGUCAACAAACACCUAGAGGAGUCUCUCCAUUAAGCACAGAGAUGCCUUGAAUCUUCCAGAAAGCUAGACUUCUGAGCUAAUCUGGGCCUAUUUCCCCGCUCUGGAGAGAUGCCCUCCAGCUCAUCAUUGCGGCGCUUGAUGUAAAUGGAAAAGGGGAAGGAAAGC